ensembl:misc_RNA Metazoa_SRP Metazoan signal recognition particle RNA
GCAUGGAGGUACACACCUAUGGUCCCAUCUACUUGGACGCUGAGGCAGGAGGAUCACUCCAGCCUAGGAAUUCUGGGCUGUAGUGCGAUAUGCCAAUUGGGUGUCUACACUCAGUCUGAUGUCAAUAUGGUCACCUCUUGGGAGCAGGGGGACCACCAGGUUGCCUAAGGAGGGGUGAACCAGCCCAGGUCAGACACAGAGCAGUUCUGUGUUGACCAGCGGUGGGAUCGAGCCUGUGAAGAGCCACAGCAUUCUUGCCCGACAACAUAGUGAGACCUUGUCUCUC